rnacentral:rRNA from 1 species
CAGGCGGCAGCUUACACAUGCAAGUCGAGCGCACUCUUCGGAGUGAGCGGCGGACGGGUUAGUAACGCGUGGGAACGUGCCCUUCUCUAAGGAAUAGCCACUGGAAACGGUGAGUAAUACCUUAUACGCCCUUCGGGGGAAAGAUUUAUCGGAGAAGGAUCGGCCCGCGUUAGAUUAGAUAGUUGGUGGGGUAAUGGCCUACCAAGUCUACGAUCUAUAGCUGGUUUUAGAGGAUGAUCAGCAACACUGGGACUGAGACACGGCCCAGACUCCUACGGGAGGCAGCAGUGGGGAAUCUUGGACAAUGGGCGCAAGCCUGAUCCAGCCAUGCCGCGUGAGUGAUGAAGGCCUUAGGGUCGUAAAGCUCUUUCGCCAGAGAUGAUAAUGACAGUAUCUGGUAAAGAAACCCCGGCUAACUCCGUGCCAGCAGCCGCGGUAAUACGGAGGGGGUUAGCGUUGUUCGGAAUUACUGGGCGUAAAGCGCACGUAGGCGGAUCAGAAAGUAUAGGGUGAAAUCCCAGGGCUCAACCCUGGAACUGCCUUGUAAACUCCUGGUCUUGAGUUCGAGAGAGGUGAGUGGAAUUCCGAGUGUAGAGGUGAAAUUCGUAGAUAUUCGGAGGAACACCAGUGGCGAAGGCGGCUCACUGGCUCGAUACUGACGCUGAGGUGCGAAAGUGUGGGGAGCAAACAGGAUUAGAUACCCUGGUAGU